AUUGCGCCAUGUCCGUUCUACUGCUGAAACUUGAACUGUAGCUGGCUUACUUUUUUUUUUUUUUAAGGAAGAAUAAUAAUGAAGAGGAAUAACAUGCAGCUGUUGAUUUUAAUCUGGCUUUUGCACAUUCCCAUGAUUGGGUUUCUCAAAACUGCCUUCAGCCAGCUGGAUUCAGACAUGCUUUGGAGUGACCCAGUCUCCCACAUGUUGAUGGGCUGUGCUCCGAUUUAAUUGUUUCUGGAACUGGACAUAGGUUCAUUUCUGGAGCCAUAUACCCAGGAGGCAUGCUGUGCUCCUGCAUGUCUGUUCACAUGGGACAGAUUCCGCCACAGAAUAUCAACUCCUCCGAUGUCGUCACACAUUGGAUACCAAGCCGGUGUCAUCCACUUCACAGGUCAGAGGUCAGGUAAGUUGCUGCUUCAUGGUAAGUAUCCGCGGCAGUAAGCCUGACACUGAGCCAGUUGGUGAAUGGGGAAAGUGACAAGUGUGACUGACCUGCUGCCUGGCAUGAACCUGCGGCCCUGCGUCGUCGUCUGCAAACCGGAAAUGUCCAUGCAAGGUUGUCUGUUUGCAUUGCUGACACGUACCGACUGCAGCAUUGGCCUCUGUUUAUACCCAAUGACACAGAUAAGAAGCAAUACUGAGUCAAAAGGUUUCCCACACACUACAAACAUAGAUCCCAUGUUUACUGAAAUUAUUUACAGUAAACCUAAAUGCCUUGUGACAUAUUGCGCAGCGACGCACUGCACGUAUAGGAAUGCCAUGUGAUAUCUGCGCCCGUGUGGCUCAUGUGCUUGACAGAUAGUGUUAUGAGAUACAGCACAUAUCCACUCACACAUCCAGAUAUCAUUGGUUUUGAGACUAUAAGGAUAGGAGUAUAUUUUCUUUAAAAAAAAUCAGCUUGUUACGUUUUUGUUGUGGUCCGAGCAUUUGCACAGUAUGCAUUCGAUAAUUCCCUCAAAUGGCAGACGCAUACAUGUAUCUAUAGUCUCGUCGCCCAUGCCUGUGUCUGACUGGACGUGUGUCACUGCACAUACAGGGUAAUCUGUGGUAAGCUGGUUUAUGGGCUCGUCUGCAGUGACGCAGAUGUACGCGCCAAGCUCCACGCUUAUAGAUCCGCCACAACUAACCUGCACAGACUCUGUGGCCUAUACCCUACAUCCUGACAGACGGCUUGCGUAUUACAUAUAUAUAUAUAUAUCAGAAAUGUUCAUCACAGCUUAGCA